ACGUAGUCCGCUCAAUUAUCUGAUGUUUUAAAUAAAAUUUGUUCUUUGAUUCUAUUUAUACAAUUGGAUAAACCGUUUGAAACAUUGAGAAAUGAAAAUCGAAGAAUUAUUAAAUAAUAGAAAUAAUAAUAGAUUUAUACACAAUGUCUGCUUUUAAACAAAAUAUCAAAAAUUAUCUGAGUAAAUGGCUGGACAACGCCGCAGCAGAAGUUUUAAAUAAUAACAUCGAGGAAAAUGUUAUUGUCACAUAUAUUCAUCCCACACAUCGUUAUACUUUGAAUAAGAAAAUUAACAUAUUAAAAAAGAAAAACGAAUAUUUUGAAUCGAAAAAUAAGUUUAAAG